ACCACACUGACAAAGUAUUUAUGUAAUCGGUGUCAUCUCUUUAUUCGUAUUCCAACAAUGCCUUUGAAGCAAUUUCAAGUGUCCGUGAGAAUAUAUCCUGUCCAAUGCACAGCAUGAAACUUUUCAAAUCAACUUUUCCAACUCUCAACUUCGUGUUAUUCCGUUACGUUAUUUUCCCACUGAGAUUUCCCCGGUUUCCGGCACGUUGUUUCUCGGAAACGAAGACGCACGAGCGACAUUACACCGGUGGUUGGCAUCGCAUUCGUCAACGGAAACAGAAGUUAUCGUAGUGGCUCGAUUGCGCGAUAUCGUUCACAGCGUGAGAAACAAUUCCGCGCAACGUGGUCGUAUGUGCUUGCGGAAUUACGUGGAGGCCGUACGUGCAGCUUACAAAGGAAAAUCCAAUUUCAUUUACCUCGCACUACACUUGGACAAUAAACGCGCACGAAGCCAGCCAGACUCGUCUGUUACGAGGAUGUGCAAACACGUUCGCCUGUUCAACGUGUUAGCGGGCAAAAAUCAUCGCUUCCGGCGAAGCGUCUCACUGACUGUAUUAUCUAAGUAUGACGGCCACUAUUAAUAGAGAAAUACAUACAAACCGUAUGAUUUCAUGAGAAUAAUGGCAGUAGCGUGUAAUUUGAAAAUAAUUGUAGUUAAAAAUAAUAAUUUCGAUUGAGAAGAUAAUGAAGAUUUGGCCUUCGUGAAUUUUUAAAAUACGUUUGAAAAUCGAAGUGAAAGAGGGAGAAGGAGAGUGCAAUCGAAGUGUGCCGCAUAAGAAAAUUCAAACUUUCAUGACGUAGGAAAUUAUUACAAAGAGAAUGACAAAAGUUUAAUGGAUUUUAAGUUUACACCCGUGUAAAAAAUUUCAUGUCCAAUACGAUAAUCACAAAAAUUAUGAUCGAAUUUACAAGAAGGAACAGUUUGAUGGAUUUUAAGUUUACACCGGUAUAAAAAAUUUCAUGUCCUAUACGAUAAUCAUAAAAAUUAUGAUCGAAUUUACAACAAGGAAAAGUUAAUUUAACCUAAUCUGCGUUACAGAGUGUAGGAUUAUUCUUGGAUUAUAUCCUUUUAGUGUCUAAGGCGACUUGAAUUGAGGGAUUAUGUGGAGUAUAAAGGAGGUUUUCUUUUUUAGGUCAUUUAGAGGGCUCAUGAAUAACGUGAUUUAGAUACGGAAACUUCGAGUGACAAAAAAAUGUAUUAUGAGAAAAAAGUGUUAAAUCAAGAUUCUGAACCAAAUUCAUUCCAUUUCAGGCUGUCGAUAAAUUUAAGGAUAUAGCUUUUAUGAUAGUGUUUCAAAUAAUCCCUGAAACUCAAAGAGAAUAAUUUACAUGGUAAAAUGUUACGAUAGAUUUUCCGGAAGAUAUUUUUCUUCGUUUUCAAUCAAAAACAAUUUCUACAAUUCUCCAACAUUAACUAUUACAUCAUCACAUGAUGUUAUAAAACAAUAAACAAAUAUAUAUACGAAAUACAUAUACAAAUGUUGAUACAUCGAACUGUAUAUUCUAUUUCGCACUAGAUUUAUCUUUCCCCUCAAAACAAUCUUUAAUUAAAUAUUUUACGCAAAAGAAUAAAUUCCUAG
rnacentral:misc_RNA from 1 species